GAUGAACGCUGGCGGCGUGCCUAACACAUGCAAGUCGAGCGAGAAACUGACAGAUGAAACUUCGGUAGAUUCAGUCGGUGGACAGCGGCGGACGGGUGAGUAACGCGUGGGCAACCUGCCCUUCACUGGGAGAUAGCCGCGGGAAACUGCGAGUAAUAUCCCAUAAUGCAGCAUAUCUACAUGGAUAAGCUGCCAAAGAUUCAUCGGUGAAGGAUGGGCCCGCGUCUGAUUAGCUAGUUGGUAAGGUAGCGGCUUACCAAGGCGACGAUCAGUAGCCGGCCUGAGAGGGCGGACGGCCACAUUGGAACUGAGACACGGUCCAGACUCCUACGGGAGGCAGCAGUGGGGAAUAUUGCACAAUGGGCGAAAGCCUGAUGCAGCGACGCCGCGUGAGGGAAGAAGGCCUUCGGGUCGUAAACCUCUGUCCAAGGGGAAGAAAAAAAUGACGGUACCCUUGGAGGAAGCCCCGGCUAACUACGUG
rnacentral:rRNA from 1 species